rnacentral:rRNA from 1 species
GUACACAAAAAUGCACAUAUUGUGAGCUCGAUGAGUAGGGCGGGACACGUGGUAUCCUGUCUGAAUAUGGGGGGACCAUCCUCCAAGGCUAAAUACUCCUGACUGACCGAUAGUGAACCAGUACCGUGAGGGAAAGGCGAAAAGAACCCCGGCGAGGGGAGUGAAAAAGAACCUGAAACCGUGUACGUACAAGCAGUGGGAGCCUCUUUUAUGGGGUGACUGCGUACCUUUUGUAUAAUGGGUCAGCGACUUAUAUUCUGUAGCAAGGUUAACCGAAUAGGGGAGCCGAAGGGAAACCGAGUCUUAACUGGGCGUUAAGUUGCAGGGUAUAGACCCGAAACCCGGUGAUCUAGCCAUGGGCAGGUUGAAGGUUGGGUAACACUAACUGGAGGACCGAACCGACUAAUGUUGAAAAAUUAGCGGAUGACUUGUGGCUGGGGGUGAAAGGCCAAUCAAACCGGGAGAUAGCUGGUUCUCCCCGAAAGCUAUUUAGGUAGCGCCUCGUGAAUUCAUCUCCGGGGGUAGAGCACUGUUUCGGCAAGGGGGUCAUCCCGACUUACCAACCCGAUGCAAACUGCGAAUACCGGAGAAUGUUAUCACGGGAGACACACGGCGGGUGCUAACGUCCGUCGUGAAGAGGGAAACAACCCAGACCGCCAGCUAAGGUCCCAAAGUCAUGGUUAAGUGGGAAACGAUGUGGGAAGGCCCAGACAGCCAGGAUGUUGGCUUAGAAGCAGCCAUCAUUUAAAGAAAGCGUAAUAGCUCACUGGUCGAGUCGGCCUGCGCGGAAGAUGUAACGGGGCUAAACCAUGCACCGAAGCUGCGGCAGCGACGCUUAUGCGUUGUUGGGUAGGGGAGCGUUCUGUAAGCCUGUGAAGGUGUGCUGUGAGGCAUGCUGGAGGUAUCAGAAGUGCGAAUGCUGACAUAAGUAACGAUAAAGCGGGUGAAAAGCCCGCUCGCCGGAAGACCAAGGGUUCCUGUCCAACGUUAAUCGGGGCAGGGUGAGUCGACCCCUAAGGCGAGGCCGAAAGGCGUAGUCGAUGGGAAACAGGUUAAUAUUCCUGUACUUGGUGUUACUGCGAAGGGGGGACGGAGAAGGCUAUGUUGGCCGGGCGACGGUUGUCCCGGUUUAAGCGUGUAGGCUGGUUUUCCAGGCAAAUCCGGAAAAUCAAGGCUGAGGCGUGAUGACGAGGCACUACGGUGCUGAAGCAACAAAUGCCCUGCUUCCAGGAAAAGCCUCUAAGCAUCAGGUAACAUCAAAUCGUACCCCAAACCGACACAGGUGGUCAGGUAGAGAAUACCAAGGCGCUUGAGAGAACUCGGGUGAAGGAACUAGGCAAAAUGGUGCCGUAACUUCGGGAGAAGGCACGCUGAUAUGUAGGUGAAGUCCCUUGCGGAUGGAGCUGAAAUCAGUCGAAGAUACCAGCUGGCUGCAACUGUUUAUUAAAAACACAGCACUGUGCAAACACGAAAGUGGACGUAUACGGUGUGACGCCUGCCCGGUGCCGGAAGGUUAAUUGAUGGGGUCAGCGCAAGCGAAGCUCUUGAUCGAAGCCCCGGUAAACGGCGGCCGUAACUAUAACGGUCCUAAGGUAGCGAAAUUCCUUGUCGGGUAAGUUCCGACCUGCACGAAUGGCGUAAUGAUGGCCAGGCUGUCUCCACCCGAGACUCAGUGAAAUUGAACUCGCUGUGAAGAUGCAGUGUACCCGCGGCAAGACGGAAAGACCCCGUGAACCUUUACUAUAGCUUGACACUGAACAUUGAGCCUUGAUGUGUAGGAUAGGUGGGAGGCUUUGAAGUGUGGACGCCAGUCUGCAUGGAGCCGACCUUGAAAUACCACCCUUUAAUGUUUGAUGUUCUAACGUGGACCCGUGAUCCGGGUUGCGGACAGUGUCUGGUGGGUAGUUUGACUGGGGCGGUCUCCUCCUAAAGAGUAACGGAGGAGCACGAAGGUUGGCUAAUCCUGGUCGGACAUCAGGAGGUUAGUGCAAUGGCAUAAGCCAGCUUGACUGCGAGCGUGACGGCGCGAGCAGGUGCGAAAGCAGGUCAUAGUGAUCCGGUGGUUCUGAAUGGAAGGGCCAUCGCUCAACGGAUAAAAGGUACUCCGGGGAUAACAGGCUGAUACCGCCCAAGAGUUCAUAUCGACGGCGGUGUUUGGCACCUCGAUGUCGGCUCAUCACAUCCUGGGGCUGAAGUAGGUCCCAAGGGUAUGGCUGUUCGCCAUUUAAAGUGGUACGCGAGCUGGGUUUAGAACGUCGUGAGACAGUUCGGUCCCUAUCUGCCGUGGGCGCUGGAGAACUGAGGGGGGCUGCUCCUAGUACGAGAGGACCGGAGUGGACGCAUCACUGGUGUUCGGGUUGUCAUGCCAAUGGCACUGCCCGGUAGCUAAAUGCGGAAGAGAUAAGUGCUGAAAGCAUCUAAGCACGAAACUUGCC